GAAACUUAUAAGCCGGUUGUUCCUGGUAUUGCACACUUAUACUUGGGAGAUAAAGCCAAACAUGAUGAAGUAGCUGCACAAUGGACACUGAGAUUUGCAAGGUGAAAGAAGAACAUGAUGUGGAACUUUUUUAACAAGUUCAGGUCAGCCAUUGCUUAGUUUGAAGUUUAACAAGCAUAGAAGAGCUGUUGUACACGAUAUUCAAA
rnacentral:misc_RNA from 1 species